UCCCAAAGAUUAGCGGCGGACGGGUGAGUAACACGUGGGCAACCUGCCUGUAAGACUGGGAUAACUCCGGGAAACCGGGGCUAAUACCGGAUAAUAUCUAUUUAUACAUAUAAUUAGAUUGAAAGAUGGUUCUGCUAUCACUUACAGAUGGGCCCGCGGCGCAUUAGCUAGUUGGUGAGGUAACGGCUCACCAAGGCGACGAUGCGUAGCCGACCUGAGAGGGUGAUCGGCCACACUGGGACUGAGACACGGCCCAGACUCCUACGGGAGGCAGCAGUAGGGAAUCUUCCGCAAUGGACGAAAGUCUGACGGAGCAACGCCGCGUGAGUGAUGAAGGUUUUCGGAUCGUAAAACUCUGUUGUUAGGGAAGAACAAGUACCGGAGUAACUGCCGGUACCUUGACGGUACCUAACCAGAAAGCCACGGCUAACUACGUGCCAGCAGCCGCGGUAAUACGUAGGUGGCAAGCGUUGUCCGGAAUUAUUGGGCGUAAAGCGCGCGCAGGCGGUUCCUUAAGUCUGAUGUGAAAGCCCACGGCUCAACCGUGGAGGGUCAUUGGAAACUGGGGAACUUGAGUGCAGAAGAGGAAAGUGGAAUUC
rnacentral:rRNA from 1 species